rnacentral:rRNA from 1 species
GAACUUCUUUGCGGCGAGCCAAAUAAUGCAAGUCGAGCGGACAGAAGGGAGCUUGCUCCCGGAUGUUAGCGGCGGACGGGUGAGUAACACGUGGGUAACCUGCCUGUAAGACUGGGAUAACUCCGGGAAACCGGAGCUAAUACCGGAUAGUUCCUUGAACCGCAUGGUUCAAGGAUGAAAGACGGUUUCGGCUGUCACUUACAGAUGGACCCGCGGCGCAUUAGCUAGUUGGUGGGGUAAUGGCUCACCAAGGCGACGAUGCGUAGCCGACCUGAGAGGGUGAUCGGCCACACUGGGACUGAGACACGGCCCAGACUCCUACGGGAGGCAGCAGUAGGGAAUCUUCCGCAAUGGACGAAAGUCUGACGGAGCAACGCCGCGUGAGUGAUGAAGGUUUUCGGAUCGUAAAGCUCUGUUGUUAGGGAAGAACAAGUGCGAGAGUAACUGCUCGCACCUUGACGGUACCUAACCAGAAAGCCACGGCUAACUACGUGCCAGCAGCCGCGGUAAUACGUAGGUGGCAAGCGUUGUCCGGAAUUAUUGGGCGUAAAGGGCUCGCAGGCGGUUUCUUAAGUCUGAUGUGAAAGCCCCCGGCUCAACCGGGGAGGGUCAUUGGAAACUGGGAAACUUGAGUGCAGAAGAGGAGAGUGGAAUUCCACGUGUAGCGGUGAAAUGCGUAGAGAUGUGGAGGAACACCAGUGGCGAAGGCGACUCUCUGGUCUGUAACUGACGCUGAGGAGCGAAAGCGUGGGGAGCGAACAGGAUUAGAUACCCUGGUAGUCCACGCCGUAAACGAUGAGUGCUAAGUGUUAGGGGGUUUCCGCCCCUUAGUGCUGCAGCUAACGCAUUAAGCACUCCGCCUGGGGAGUACGGUCGCAAGACUGAAACUCAAAGGAAUUGACGGGGGCCCGCACAAGCGGUGGAGCAUGUGGUUUAAUUCGAAGCAACGCGAAGAACCUUACCAGGUCUUGACAUCCUCUGACAACCCUAGAGAUAGGGCUUUUC